GUAAAAAUAAUGCAGAAAAAAAAUAACUGCGAAUCCAACGUACAUCCGUUCAAAAUCUAAUGUGAUGCGAAACUUGAGAUGUUGCUCUUU
rnacentral:sRNA from 13 species